ensembl:misc_RNA predicted gene, 27470
GAGCUGUGUGACUUUUCCAUCUGGGCUGCACUGAACUAAGAAAGUCAGGGGCAUAUUGUAUGGACAGGACACAUGCCAGACUUUGAAACUCAGUGAGUAAAGGAGUCCACCCCACCCCACAUACACUCAGCACAUAUCAUGCUGGGAUUCAGAGUAACAGGUAUCCUAUUGGGAGGUCUUUUCUUAGACUUUUGGUUGCCUAGCAACAAGAC